AUGCACGCUGGCGGCGUGCUUAACACAUGCCAGUCGAACGGAAAGGCCCUGCUUUUGUGGGGUGCUCGAGUGGCGAACGGGUGAGUAACACGUGAGUAACCUGCCCUUGACUUUGGGAUAACUUCGGGAAACUGGGGCUAAUACCGGAUAGGAGCUCCUGCUGCAUGGUGGGGGUUGGAAAGUUUCGGCGGUUGGGGAUGGACUCGCGGCUUAUCAGCUUGUUGGUGGGGUAGUGGCUUACCAAGGCUUUGACGGGUAGCCGGCCUGAGAGGGUGACCGGCCACAUUGGGACUGAGAUACGGCCCAGACUCCUACGGGAGGCAGCAGUGGGGAAUAUUGCACAAUGGGCGGAAGCCUGAUGCAGCAACGCCGCGUGCGGGAUGACGGCCUUCGGGUUGUAAACCGCUUUCGCCUGUGACGAAGCGUGAGUGACGGUAAUGGGUAAAGAAGCACCGGCUAACUACGUG
rnacentral:rRNA from 1 species